UACAGAGGGGGCAAGCGUUGUUCGGAAUUACUGGGCGUAAAGAGCGCGUAGGCGGCCUUCUAAGUCGAACGUGAAAUCCCUGGGCUCAACCCAGGAACUGCGUCCGAUACUGGAAGGCUUGAAUCCGGGAGAGGGAUGCGGAAUUCCAGGUGUAGCGGUGAAAUGCGUAGAUAUCUGGAGGAACACCGGUGGCGAAGGCGGCAUCCUGGACCGGCAUUGACGCUGAGGCGCGAAAGCCAGGGGAGCAAACGGG
rnacentral:rRNA from 1 species